CCCUUUUCUGACUUUUUACCGUGUCCUUGUGUUAUUAUUGUUGUCUCUGCGAAGACUAAAUAGUAUCAGAACCCAGGAAACUCUCUUGCUUUCUAAUUCAUUGAGGUUUGUCUUUGCCCUAGCUCUUUUUGGUGAUGUCUUAGUGUAUUCUUGUGCUGCUGGCUUCCCCUCAUUAUGUUUCUCAGUCAGCAUGCUUCACAAUGGAUCCAGAAACCUUCUCAAGCCAAGCCUACUCAGUUCUUCUCACGGAAAGCACACAUACUCAUCUGCCCAGACUCCAGCCCAGUGUGCAGAGGAAAGGAUCAGGCAGCCUGAUUUUCUGCUGCUUAUUUGGACCUGUGGAUGCUUUUCUGAGGGAAGCUAAGAAACAAUCUUCAAAUUACUGUCAAAAAUCCAGAACCCAGACCAAAGGAUUCUGUGCCAGGUCCAACCACAUGGGAAAAGAAGAAGGAAAGGACAUCAAAAGCAGCUGUACUUCAUUCUCUUUUCAAGAAUAACAAGGUGGAAAAUUCUGGAGAAUGGAAAAUUUACUCUUUGAUAUAUGUAAUAUUUGCAAUUGUCUGAUACUAGAAUAGAUAGUCAACUCACCUAUUCCAUAUCAUUUUAUGCUUUUAUCAGAUUGAGAAACAAACAAACAAACAAACAAAUAAAAACCGCAAACCCACAUCUGCA
rnacentral:lncRNA from 1 species